rnacentral:rRNA from 1 species
UACGGAGGGUGCGAGCGUUGUCCGGAAUCAUUGGGCGUAAAGGGCGCGUAGGUGGCCCGGUCAGUCUUUGGUGAAAGCGCGGGGCUCAACCCUGCGUCGGCCAGGGAUACUGCCGCGGCUGGAGCACUGUAGAGGCAGGCGGAAUUCCGGGUGUAGCGGUGGAAUGCGUAGAGAUCCGGAAGAACACCGGUGGCGAAGGCGGUCUGCUGGGCCAAGACUGACGCUGAGGCGCGACAGCGUGGGGAGCAAACAGG